CUCAAAUGAAUUGACGGGGGCCCGCACAAGCGGUGGAGUAUGUGGUUUAAUUCGAUGCAACGCGAAGAACCUUACCUGGUCUUGACAUCCCGGAGACCCUUAGGAAACUAGGGGGUGCUUCCAUCUGGAAGAAUCUGGAGACAGGUGCUGCAUGGCUGUCGUCAGCUCGUGUCGUGAGAUGUUGGGUUAAGUCCCGCAACGAGCGCAACCCUUGCCUUUAGUUGCCAGCAGUUCGGCUGGGCACUCUAAAGGGACUGCCGGUGUUAAACCGGAGGAAGGUGGGGAUGACGUCAAGUCCUCAUGGCCUUUAUGACCAGGGCUACACACGUACUACAAUGGCCGAUACAAAGGGCAGCGACACUGCGAGGUGAAGCCAAUCCCGUAAAAUCGGUCUCAGUCCGGAUUGGAGUCUGCAACUCGACUCCAUGAAGUUGGAAUCGCUAGUAAUCGUGGAUCAGCAUGCCACGGUGAAUACGUUCCCGGGCCUU
rnacentral:rRNA from 1 species